rnacentral:rRNA from 1 species
AACGAACGCUGGCGGCAUGCCUAACACAUGCAAGUCGAACGAAACCUUCGGGUCUAGUGGCGCACGGGUGCGUCACGCGUGGGAACCUGCCCUUAUGUUCGAACUAACUCCCCGAAAGGGGUGCUAAUACCGGAUAAUGUCUUCGGACCAAAGAUUUAUCGCCUUUGGAUGGGCCCGCGUUGGAUUAGCUAGUUGGUAGGGUAAUAGCCUACCAAGGCGACGAUCCAUAGCUGGUCUGAGAGGAUGAUCAGCCACACUGGGACUGAGACACGGCCCAGACUCCUACGGGAGGCAGCAGUGGGGAAUAGUGGACAAUGGGCGAAAGCCUGAUCCAGCAAUGCCGCGUGAGUGAUGAAGGCCGUAGGGUUGUAAAGCUCUUUUACCCGGGAUGAUAAUGACAGUACCGGGAGAAUAAGCUCCGGCUAACUCCGUG